rnacentral:lncRNA from 10 species
GGGGCCUGCCGCCGCCACCGCCUCAGGGAAGAGGAAGGAGGCCGCGGCUUCGCGUCCCGCCUCUCGCCUGGCUGGCCGUGGGGGGCCUGGACGCAGUGGCCUCCCGAAUCUCCCAGGACCCUAAUAUCGCCCGAGGAUGCUGGGAGGAACGCUGAGCCGACCUCUCCGUUAGGCUGAAGAUUGCACAAACCAUGCUAAUGGCCAGCAUGGAUGGAGGGAGCGUGUGAGAUGUGUGGGGCAGCGUGCUGCAUCUCAGCCAACUCCAGGAGAUGGAACGAAGUCUGUUUGUGGAAACACCCUUCCCCUCUGUUUACUUGGACCUGAUUUUGAAAGUAACAAGUCACUUUAUUUGGGCUGGAGGAAAAAGCACUAAACCAGAUGUUGAGGUGACCGGGAUUCCUGGAAGACAUUCUUCUCUCCAACGAGACACAUGAUGCAUGAAGUAGGAGCCCCUGGCAAGGAGCCCAGGCUGCCAUGGCCUCGCUCGCUCCUGCUUCCCGGCAUGGCCCCGAGGCUAGCUGCCUCUGUACUGCCUGAGCAUCGUCCCCUGGCGUGUCACCAGACUACCCACUACCUGUGCUUGCACCUGCAGGUGGGCAGUUCAGUCGUUGCAGGCUGAAGCUCCCUGUCACAGGAGUCCAUCAGCACUGGAGUUUACCAAAUGGCCCAGUCCAGGAAGCAUGCUCAUGGCAAUACCCGGAGUCUCCACUGCAAGACCAGAGUGACGGAGGCAGCAGAGCUCCUCAGCAGGCCAGGAGUCUCCAGAGGCACUGCCGAAUGUCUAAGAAGCAACCUCAUUGUAUUCCCAAGACCUGGGAAUCCAGGUCUCGCAGAUACGAUGAUACAAUCUAUAGCCAGGACAUCUCUUCAUGUGUAGGAUAAGCAACUAUCCCAGUCUUCCCAGGAUUGAGGGGCUUCUCCAGAUGCUGCACUUCUGGUGCUAAAAAUGAGAAACUGAAAUGAAUUAGUCACCCAAGGAAUGCUGACCCUGUGCUAUAUGAUCACAUUUACUCUUUAAAGCAAUGCUUUGAGAACAAUUGAGCUGCAUAGUCCCUGCAAUCUUAUAAAGGCAUUUGGCCUGGAAGAUGCUCUGCAGCCAUGUGCCAAGAAUAACGGCUAUAGGGACAAUGUUUCAUUAACCCCAAAGCAGCAACCUGAACCUCUUACUGUACAAUAUCUGCUCCGUUCAGAAUUAGCUCGACUUGAGUCACAGGAUGAAGCUUACCAAAAGGAAUUUCCACGUCCAAGGAAGGAACCAAGAUCACUGAGAGGUUAUAGUAUGAAAAGUGAAGAGAAAAAACCUAUUCUAAACAUUUUAUUAAUUGUCAAUAAUUAUUUUAAAAUAUUUAAUAUAGUCUCCUACCUGGUCCACUGGCAUCAAGCUGCCAAAUUUACACGGUCACUUUGGGAAGCCAGCUGGCAGGCAAACAUGGAAAGUGCUGGCUCCUAGCGUAGUGAGAAGACCACAGAUAGAUGGUAAUUUUCUUCUUUGUUUUAUUUUUCUUUUUCUUCUCUCCCUCUUUUUCUUCCCUCUUGCCUUUCCCUCCCAUUGCCCACUUUCUUUUUUUGGCUGCCGAAGAUUUAUUGCCUUUCAGUACUUAUAGAUGAUGUUUUCAUAAGUUCUAAUGAGGUCCCAGCAGUUUUUAACAAUAACAGGACAUUACUGUUCCUAAGAUAUAUUAUGUGUUUUCCCUCAUCUUUCUCCCUUGAAUGAAAUGCUUAGAAGUAGGCUAACCCCCAAUUCCCUUCCCUUUACUAUGAUAAAUGGCUCCAUUACUUAAUAGGGCUAAAUACUCUGCUGUGACUUUUAUACUGCUGAUUUGAAUAAAAUCUUACGAAAAGCUUUUCUCGUGU